rnacentral:tRNA from 1 species
UCCCGUGUGGCUCAGUUGGUAGAGCAUGGUGUUUGCAACGCCAGGGUUGUUGGUUCAAUUCCCACGGGGG